AGGCUGUGCUACAAGCAUGGACAGAUCGGCAGCUCGCCAUAACGAUGGAAACGAUGAAAGUUGAGGAAGCUGAGGUUCGGAAGCUACAUGUCUUGACUUUAGGAACCAGAGCCCUGGCUAUCCCGGAACCAUCUCCUGCUCUGUAACCCACUGCCUCUGAGAGCCAUAUGACAGAGGCAGAGAUUGAGUUACGCCACCACAAGUCAAGGAAUGCAGUGGAUUGCUGGUCACCCACCAGAAGCCAGGGAAGAGGCAUGGACCAGAUUCUCCCCUUUAAGACUUGAGAAAGGUGAGCCUGGUGAACUUGGAUGCCAUUUGUUGAAGAGAUGGAACCACAAAAUGAAAGAGGGCUGGAUCCCUAGAUCUCUACUUGGAGAAGAGUUGUGCACUAAUCAGGAAUACAUGUUUUAGACUUUAAGUGAACAAGAGAUAAACUUCUAUCAAUUUUAUGCAAUUGUACAUGUUGGAGCUGUUUUGUUAUAGCAGCUAGAGUUACCUUAACCAAUACAUAUGUGAACUGAACUGAUUUAUCUACUAUCCCUCGAAUAUGCCUCUGGUUUUUGCACAGACUUUUCCUUAGAAUUCUCAUUCUCAUAUUCCUAUGACCUACAUCCUAAAUAUUAUUCAAGGCCUAAACCAAAUCUAAUCACGUCAAAAAACUUUUUUCCACUUCCAACAGCCACAGUGAUAUUUAAUUCCCUCAGCUUCCCUUAGCACUUUGUUUUCUGUAUCUCUCAGGUGUCUUUAUCAAAGCUCUAAUUCUGGGCAUCUUGUUUUCCCAAUGAGAUUGUGAGCUCCUCAAGAUCAAGGAUCAUGUUUUUAUGCUUCCUAUGUGGCUCUGAAGUACAUUACAUGGUGGUG